rnacentral:rRNA from 1 species
CCAGGUAGUAACAGAGGGUUCGAUUCUGGCUCAGAUUGAACGCUGGCAGGAUCGCUACACAUGCAAGUCGAACGGCAGCACGGACUUCGGUCAGUGGCGGUGGCGAACAGGUGAGUAAUGUAUCGGAACGUGCCUAGUAGCGGGGGAUAACUACGCGAAAGCGUAGCUAAUACCGCAUACGCCCUUCAGGGAAGCAGGGACCUUGGGCCUCGCACUAUUAGGCGGCCGAUAUCGGAUUAGCUAGUUGGUGGGGUAACGGCUCGCAAGGCGACGAUCCGUAGCUGGUUUGAGAGGACGACCAGCCACACUGGGACAGAGACACGGCCCAGACUCCUACGGGAGGCAGCAGUGGGGAAUUUUUGGACAAUGGGGAAACCCUGAUCCAGCCAUCCCGCGUGUACGAUGAAGGCCUUACGGAGUUAUGCUUUUGGCAGGAAAGAAACGGCACGGAUAAUACCCGUGCAACUGACAACCUGCAGAAUAACUUCCAGCUUCUUCACGUGCAGCAGCCGCGGUAAUACGUAGGGUGCAAGCGUUAAUCGGAAUUACUGGGCGUAAAGCGUGCGCGAGCGGUUCGGAAAAGCUGUGAAAUCCCAGGCUUAACUUUGGACUGCGGCCCCAACUACCGAGCUGAAGUGUGUCAGAGGGAGGUGGAAUUCCGCGUGUAGCAGUGAAAUGCGUAGAUAUGCGGAGGAGGAGGAACACCGAUGGCGAAGGCAGCCUCCUGGGAUAACACUGACGCUCAUGCACAGCAACGUGGGGAGCAAACAGGAUUAGAUACCCUGGUAGUCCACGCCCUAAACGAUGUCAACUAGCUGUGGGGCCUUCGGGCCUUGGUAGCGCAGCUAACGCGUGAAGUUGACCGCCUGGGGAGAGUACGGUCGCAAGAUUAAAACUCAAAGGAAUUGACGGGGAUUACUACGGCAGUGGAUGAUGUGGAUUAAUUCGAUGCAACGCGAAAAACCUUACCUACCCUUGUAUAUCUGGAAUCCCGAAGAGGUGGGAGUGCUCGCAAGAGAACCGGAACAUACAGGUGCUGCGUGGCUGUCCGAUACUCGUGUCGUGAAGAUAUUGGGUUACCGUCCCGCAACAAACCGCAACCCUUAUCUAUUAGUUGCUACGAAAGGGCACUCUAAUGAGACUGCCGGUGACUCUGUUGGAGAGGAAAGGUGAGACGACGUAAGUCCUGUUAUUUACUGCAAUUUAGGGCUUCACACACGUCAUACAAUGGUCGGGACAGAGGGUCGCCAACCCGCGAAGGGGAGCCGUCCCAGAAGCCGAUCGUAGUCUGGAUCGCAGUCUGCAACUCGACUGCGUGAAGUCAGAAUCGCUAGUAAUCGCGGAUCAACUUGUCGCGGUGAAUACGUUCCCGGGUCUUGUACACACCGCCCGUCACACCAUGGGAGUGGGUUUUACCAGAAGUAGUUAGCCUAACCGUAAGGGCGAUUACCACGGUAAGUUCAUGACUGGGGUGAAGUCGUAACAAGGUAA